CAUAACUACUGAAAUGUGUUAUGGCCGAAAUCUACAUGGCCUCUGAUUGGACUGCGGCCGAUCAGGCUGUUGGUGAGGUAAUGGCCCACCAAACCUGUUACCGGUACGGGCUCUGAGAGGAGGAGCCCGGAGAUGGGCACUGAGACAAGGGCCCAGGCCCUAUGGGGCGCAGCAGGCGCGAAACCUCUGCAAUAGGCGAAAGCUUGACAGGGUUACUCUGAGUGAUUCCCGCUAAGGGGAUCUUUUGGCAUCUCUAAAAAUGGUGCAGAAUAAGGGGUGGGCAAGUCUGGUGUCAGCCGCCGCGGUAAUACCAGCACCCCGAGUGGUCGGGACGAUUAUUGGGCCUAAAGCAUCCGUAGCCGGUCUUGCAAGUCCUCCGUUAAAUCCAGCUGCUUAACAGAUGGGCUGCGGAGGAUACUACAAGGCUAGGAGGCGGGAGAGGCAAGCGGUACUCAGUGGGUAGGGGUAAAAUCCUCUGAUCCAUUGAAGACCACCAGUGGCGAAGGCGGCUUGCCAGAACGCGCUCGACGGUGAGGGAUGAAAGCUGGGGGAGCAAACCGGAUUAGAUACCCGGGUAGUCCCAGCUGUAAACGAUGCAGACUCGGUGAUGGGCCGGCUUUAUGCCAGCUCAGUACCGCAGGGAAGCCGUUAAGUCUGCCGCCUGGGGAGUACGGUCGCAAGACUGAAACUUAA
rnacentral:rRNA from 1 species